GAUGAACGCUGGCGGCGUGCCUAAUACAUGCAAGUCGAGCGAACAGACGAGGAGCUUGCUCCUCUGACAUUACCGGCGGACGGGUGAGUAACACGUGGAUAACCUACCUAUAAGACUGGGAUAACGUCGGGAAACCGGAGCUAAUACCGGAUAAUAUAUUGAACCGCAUGGUUCAAUAGUGAAAGACGGUUUUGCUGUCACUAAUAGAUGGAUCCACGCCGGAUUAGCUAGUUGGUAAGGUAACGGCUUACCAAGGCAACGAUGCGUAGCCGACCUGAGAGGGUGAUCGGCCACACUGGAACUGAGACACGGUCCAGACUCCUACGGGAGGCAGCAGUAGGGAAUCUUCCGCAAUGGGCGAAAGCUUGACGCAGCAACGCCGCGUGAGUGAUGAAGGUCUUCGGAUCGUAAAACUCUGUUAUUAGGGAAGAACAACUGUGUAAGUAACUAUGCCCGUCUUGACGGUACCUACUCAGAAAGCCCCGGCUAACUACGUG
rnacentral:rRNA from 1 species